UAUGGGGAACGUAUCACUCGUUUAGAGCCAAUGAUUUUCCUGAGGUUCGAGACAAGUCAAACAAAUGUCACUUUCGGGUAUCCGGGUAUUUGCCAUCUUGGAAGGGGUGAUGAUCACGUGCAAUACAUAUGUGCUUGUUUUCCCAGAAAGCUACUGUCGGAAACCACUCAACAGAUUCCGAGAAUCCAUCUUACACGAAGGAGGUCUUCCAUCAUUGUCCUGACGAAAAAUAUCGUAAAUCGUUGAAAGGUCGGUUUGGACUAUUUGGUCAGUUUAAGAUAAAGUCAACACCGCUCAAUCAGUGAGAAAGACAACAACUUCCCUAGGAGGGUUACGGACCACUAACAUCUCGAAACCUUUAUACAGCGCUUGUGAUCACAGUGAUCAGAGAAUAACCACAUUAAGAUGUUAGCACGAUGAAGCUGUUACAAUUAAAUUUCGACGUACUCUCCCUUGAUGGCGGAAAUGAAAUGAGUAACCGAGUUUAAAUUCAACGAGCAUCACUCUGUAUGUGAGUAUGGUUAACGAUAGUUAUCAAAACGCCAGUUGGCGUUACCGAACACAAUUUAUUUAAAGUUAUUUUUCAAUCAGAUUAAACUUUUGAGGUGCUCUUCUCUGUUGGGAUGCCCCAUUCUCCUUGCCUUAUUCUCAGUUAGGACUAAACUUUUUUAGUGGAUGAAAUCUUUUCAUGAGAAUAUUUAGAAUGCAAUCGGCAAACUUUUGUGAACGUUUGAAAAAUGUAAAAUUUGAUACUCCAGGCUCCUGUGUUGUCUGGCCUAGAGAACGAUCAAAACCUGGUCUGACCUAAUCAAGCUUGAACUCGAGUUCAAUUUAGAAGUUGAUAAUUUAUUGCUGUGGGACUACCACCAACAACAGCUAAUAAGAAUACGAGCCUCGUUCAAAAGCGGCAAAAUGUAUUCAUGCAUUAAAAAUAUCUCGCUCAACAAGAACCAAGACCCCCUAGCAGCACGAAUGAAAGCACUUACUUUCGAAAUACACACAAAUUAACAUAGGAACGAAAACUACAUUGACUCUACCAGGAAUCUAUUUUUUAUAUAACAGUAAAGCAAUAAUAUCUGAAUUAAAAUCAAAUAGCCUCCUUUAUACAAGAAAACCCUUAUAAAUGAAAACCUGUCAAAACGAUACAUCGUAUCGAAGAAUUUGGCUUGGGGUUUGAACAUUUGAGUCUAUUUUCAAGAUUUACAAGAAACGAUGAAAGUAAGGAAUUUUUCCAGUCAUUGGCAAAAAAAAUCUAUGCAUUACUUGAGUGUUUGUAAAUAUGAAAAACAAUUAAAAUCUGACAUACUUUCAUGUGUUCGUAUCAUCAAAACUGAAAUGAUUUGUCAUCCAGUUUACUUGAAUUUUUUUCUGAAUAUACAAAUAUGUA